rnacentral:tRNA from 1 species
AUUAAUAUAGUUUAAAAAAUACUACUUUGUGGAUGUAGAGAUGCUUGUGCUGUUAAUC